rnacentral:snRNA from 1 species
GUGCUUGUUUUGGCUGCACAUUUACUAAAAUUGGAACAAUACAGAGAUUAGCAUGGCCUUUGCAUAAGGAUGACACGCAAAUUCGUGAAGCAUUCCAUAUUUUU